AAAACGUGAACGGCAGGAUUCGAACCUGCGCGGGCAAAGCCCACAUGAUUUCUAGUCAUGCCCGAUAACCACUCCGGCACGUCAACUUCUUGUUGAACUUUUUCUAAAUUAUAAAUAUAUUCUAUAAUAGAGCAAAUAAAAUUGGGCUUAGUGAAAGAGGAUACAGACAGACACAACCUAUCUUUCUUUGUAAUGCUUCCCUUGAUUCUUGACUUGACCAAAUCUCUCUUCUCUCUCUCUCUCUCCACCGAAUCUCACCGGCGAUCUUCGCUUCCUCACCCACAAAUCUGAUUCCUCUCCAACACUCUUACCAGAUAAACUUUGAGCUUCUAGGGAUCAGAUUUUGAUCUUGUUAUGAGAAGGAAGAAGAAUGGCGACUCAGGUUGAUCCACCAAACGGAGUCAAGAAUCAAGGGAAGCAUUACUUCUCAAUGUGGCAAACACUCUUCGAGAUCGACACAGAAUACGUCUCUAUCACACCUAUAGGCCGAGGAGCAUCUGGUGUAGUCUGCUCAUCUGUUAACACAGAGAGUGGCGAUCAAUAAGAUCCACAAUGUGUUUGAGAUAUGAUGUUCUGACCACUGUCAAUACUUCUGGUUUCAGUUACUUUGAGGGCUUAAGUAUAUUCAUUCAGCCAACUUUCUCCAUCGGGAUUUGAAACCAGGGGAUAUCAUUUUCACGUUUUUACCCGAAUUCGCAUGUUCUAGCAUUGAUCUGCUUCAGAAGAUGCUCGUUCUUGACCCACCCAUCUAAGAGGAUUAGUGUCACGGAAGCGCUUCAGCAUCCUUACUUGGCGCCUUUAUAUGACCCGAGUUCAAAUCCUCCUGCUGAAGUUCCUAUUGAUCUUGAUGUAGAUGUAGAUGAAGACGAGGAUUUGGGGGCACUUUUGUGAAAUCGGUUUUGAAAUCUUAAUGUAGUAUCUUUGGAAAUACUAUAUUUAUACGUGUACACAAAAUCUGUUGCAUCUUGAAGUGUCUUAAAUCUGUGUGCACCAGUAAAAGCUCAACAUUCGUUGGGUCGUACAUAGUAUGUAUUCCUCCUAUAAAAAAAAGUAAAUCGGGUUUUGAAGCUGCUAUAAAUACGAGUCUAAGGAUUUGUAAGAUAUUCAUUCACAUAAUAAUAAGAAACCUUAAACGGGUAUUUGCCUCAA